AUGCUUAGUGAGCAUAAGGUCUUACCUGGUCUUGUUCACCAAACAGUAUAUGGAGAGCCUGAGAACUCAUAGGGGUAAUGAUGAUUAUGUCCUGACAUCUUGUAUUCUCUGGUCUUCCUACCUUGCAUCUGGACACGUCUGCAAGAAAAGCCCACUGACAAACUUUGCCAGUAGAAUUUGACAAACAUCAGAAGACCAUGGUCACAGGAAGCACUUCAGGAAAGUUUCAGACUCGUCAAUCAACUAUGCUUGGAGGAACUGUUAACCAAGAUACCAGACCUCAGUCAAGUGAGCCUACCGGCUCUAGUGACCCUACAGAUCAAAGCCAGAGGCACCGAGACAACAUGUUUGGAGGUAGCACAGACAAGAAUCAUCACAAGAGAAAUCAAUAGCAGGCAAUCCAGCAGCAUUGGGCAACCAAGUAUCCUGGAAAAGCUGGAGUUUAAGAAGAGACACAUCUGUAACAAAGACCUCAAUUUAUUGUAUUAUUUCAAUUUUAUUUUAUUGCUU